rfam:Salmo salar isolate Sally breed double haploid chromosome ssa16, whole genome shotgun sequence.
UCCAUACAUUUAUGUAAGUCGCUCUGGAUAAGAGCAUCUGCUAAAUGACUAAAU